rnacentral:ncRNA from 1 species
GGGGCGCAUUUAUUAGAUAAAAGGCUGACGUGGGCUCUGCUCGCUGAUCCGAUGAUUCAUGAUAACUCGACGGAUCGCAUGGCCUUUGUGCCGGCGACGCAUCAUUGUGAUUUCUGCCCUAUCAACUUUCGAUGGUAGGAUAGGGGCCUACCAUGGUGGUGACGGGUGACGGAGAAUUAGGGUUCGAUUCCGGAGAGGGAGCCUGAGAAACGGCUACCACAUCCAAGGAAGGCAGCAGGGGCG